rnacentral:lncRNA from 1 species
GUUUAGUACUACUAUUAUGGAAAGUUUAGUUUCAAAACAUGUUCCGUCUCUGUGAAUCGAGUCUAACUGGAGUCUUGUUUGUUUUUAUUUUAUUCUUUUCUUGUUUGUUUUUAUUUUAUUCUUUGUCUAAACCGAAGAUAGGGAAUUAGAUGAUUCAACUGUUGAUUGAUUUGUUUGAUGUUAAAGACAUUUAUAUAUAAGUAUACUUAUAGUAUGGGUUUGUUAGCCGGAUACAAGGAAGUACUUCUGUAUCGGCCUAUUUGUGUGGAGAUUACGAGGCGUACAUGGAAGCACUUAUGUACCACGU